GUUUACUUAAUUCAUUUAACUGUUAUGGGAAAUGUGUUCUCGCUAUAUUCUAUUUGGGUUAUUUCCCACUUUUCAGUUUUAGAUCUUGUUAAACUUGAACGUACCAUUCGCAAGGAGAAGCAACCAGCAUCGAUCAACAACUCUUCUUCAUCGAUUGACACCACUUGUGAGCAAGCAACGAUCUCCACUACUCAAACACCGAUUGGCACCAACCCGCAAGCAAGUGACAUGGCCGUGACUCUUGUACUGAUACAGAAUGCGAAUGGAGACCUGCAUUUCUCUGAGUGUCAUUUGCUGAUGCAGCAGGUCAGAGAUUUGAUGAUCACGGGGUGUAAUCCCUGAUUCAAAAGAAGCUUCUUUAGAA
rnacentral:lncRNA from 1 species